CUUUGAGCUUUUUAUAGGGUGACCUCUAACACAGGGCUCCUUCUUUUUAAGGACUGAGAAUAACUCAAACCUUCAACUGUGUCAACCACAUGGCGGCAAACAGACUUCUGUGAUGAAUAACCCAGGAAAGAAAAGAAGGUUUGAAGCACUCAGAAAGGACGGAUGGAAACUAAGUGGACCAAGACAGGAAGAACACUGGGAGGUAAAAUGGCUGUCACACGAACAACAGCAGAACCACUUUCCAGAAGCAAAAUGAGGAUCAGUGAACAUCAAGGAAAUUUCAUUCUCUCAUAAAAACAGAUUAAGUCAAGCGGAUGGGCCCCUUCAGCAAACAAAGAUGCUUGCCUCCACCAAGCCUGAAGAUCCAAGUUUCAUCCACAGGACCCUC